UAAUAAGUGUUUUAUGGCACUUUUUAAAUCCAUAUCCACCUCGUGUGCAAUGUCAGUCGAUCUUCUUCAUGGAGAUCGACCAAACAUCAACCUUUAUUUUUUAACUCUUUGUCUGAAAAAUAUUAUGAAUAAACAAUUCAAAAUA
rnacentral:misc_RNA from 1 species